ACGCUGGCGGCACGCCUAACACAUGCAAGUCGAACGAAGUAGCAAUACUUAGUGGCAGACGGGUGAGUAACAUGUAGGUAUCUGCCCUUUGGCCUGGAAUAACACGAGGAAACUUGUGCUAAUACCGGAUAAGUCUUUACAGAGAAAGCUUUAUGCACCAUUGGAUGAGCCUGCACUUGAUUAGUUUGUUGGUGGGGUAAUGGCCUACCAAGACUGUGAUCAAUAGCUGAUUUGAGAGGAUGAUCAGCCACAUUGGGACUGAGACACGGCCCAAAUUCCUACGGGAGGCAGCAGUGGGGAAUCUUGCACAAUGGAGGAAACUCUGAUGCAGCGAUGCCGCAUGAGUGAAGAAGGCCUUUGGGUUGUAAAGCUCUUUCGUCGGGGAAGAAAAUGACUGUACCCGAAUAAGAAGGUCCGGCUAACUUCGUGCCAGCAGCCGCGGUAAUACGAAGGGACCUAGCGUAGUUCGGAAUUACUGGGCUUAAAGAGUUCGUAGGUGGUUGAAAAAGUUAGUGGUGAAAUCCCAGAGCUUAACUCUGGAACUGCCAUUAAAACUUUUCAGCUAGAGUAUGAUAGAGGAAAGCAGAAUUUCUAGUGUAGAGGUGAAAUUCGUAGAUAUUAGAAAGAAUACCAAUUGCGAAGGCAGCUUUCUGGAUCAUUACUGACACUGAGGAACGAAAGCAUGGGUAGCGAAGAGGAUUAGAUACCCUCGUAGUCCAUGCCGUAAACGAUGUGUGUUAGACGUUGGAAAUUUAUUUUCAGUGUCGCAGGGAAACCGAUAAACACACCGCCUGGGGAGUACGACCGCAAGGUUAAAACUCAAAUGAAUUGACGGGGACCCGCACAAGUAGUGGAGCAUGUGGUUUAAUUCGAAGAUACGCGCAGAACCUUACCAACACUUGACAUGUUCGUCGCGACUCUAAGAGAUUAGAGUUUUCGGUUCGGCCGGACGAAACACAGGUGCUGCAUGGCUGUCGUCAGCUCGUGUCGUGAGAUGUUGGGUUAAGUCCCGCAACGAGCGCAACCCUCACUUUUAGUUGCCAUCAUUAAGUUGGGCACUCUGAAAGAACUGCCAGUGAUAAGCUGGAGGAAGGUGAGGAUGACGUCAAGUCCUCAUGGCCCUUACGUGUUGGGCUACACACGUGCUACAAUGGUAUCUACAACAGGAAGCAAGACUGCGAAGUUAAGCAAAUCCCUAAAAGAUACCUCAGUUCGGAUUGCACUCUGCAACUCGAGUGCAUGAAGCUGGAAUUACUAGUAAUCGUGGAUCAGCGUGCCACGGUGAAUGCGUUCCCGGGUCUUGUACACACCGC
rnacentral:rRNA from 1 species